ensembl:lncRNA
AUGCUUUAAAGUAUGCUGGGAAUUUGGAAAGGAGAAGUUAAAUGUUUCAGGUAAAAGAGAAGACCAACUGGCUGAGACACUUCUAGACUUGGAGAGCUUGGGAAAUAAUGUUGGAAAGUUCAAGUGACACCAGAUAUUGAAGGGCUUUCGAAAGACUCCCUUUCCUGAGACUCUAUGAAGCAGAGUUGGGCAUCCCUUGUCCCCAGUCCCCGAGCACCAAUAAAAGUGUUAAAGCCUGUAGCCUGCAGUAGAGACACCACAACAGAUGAAAUAGUAAAGGAAUUGGAAUCAAUAGCGGAUACUGAAUAUCCAGUUGAAUGAAUGACUGGCCUGAAUAUCUUUCUGGAAGAAGUAUUAUUAGCUGUAUGAGGUAAUGCUUAAUUUGUUUUAAAUUUAUGCUCUCACGUUUUAAAGCAUGAUUCCUUAACCCAGUAUUCUAGCAUUGGUAAAUAAACCUUAUAGAUACCAC